rnacentral:tRNA from 1 species
CAAAGCAUAGCUUAAUCCCAAAGCAUCUAGCUUACACCUAGAAGAUAUCAUAUUGACAUGACUGCUUUGA